GACGAACGCUGGCGGCGUGCUUAACACAUGCAAGUCGAACGGAAAGGCCCUGCUUUUGUGGGGUGCUCGAGUGGGGAACGGGUGAGUAACACGUGAGUAACCUGCCCUUGACUUUGGGAUAACUUCAGGAAACUGGGGCUAAUACCGGAUAGGAGCUCCUGCUGCAUGGUGGGGGUUGGAAAGUUUCGGCGGUUGGGGAUGGACUCGCGGCUUAUCAGCUUGUUGGUGGGGUAGUGGCUUACCAAGGCUUUGACGGGUAGCCGGCCUGCGAGGGUGACCGGCCACAUUGGGACUGAGAUACGGCCCAGACUCCUACGGGAGGCAGCAGUGGGGAAUAUUGCACAAUGGGCGGAAGCCUGAUGCAGCAACGCCGCGUGCGGGAUGACGGCCUUCGGGUUGUAAACCGCUUUCGCCUGUGACGAAGCGUGAGUGACGGUAAUGGGUAAAGAAGCACCGGCUAACUACGUG
rnacentral:rRNA from 1 species